rnacentral:rRNA from 1 species
GGUCCCUACGGGGCGCAGCAGUGGGGAAUAUUGCACAAUGGAGGAAACUCUGAUGCAGCGAUGCCGCGUGAGGGAAGAAGGUUUUCGGAUUGUAAACCUCUGUCUUAAGGGACGAUAAUGACGGUACCUUAGGAGGAAGCUCCGGCUAACUACGUGCCAGCAGCCGCGGUAAUACGUAUGGGGCAAGCGUUAUCCGGAUUUACUGGGUGUAAAGGGAGCGUAGGCGGCCUGGCAAGCCUGAUGUGAAAUACCGGGGCCCAACCCCGGGGCUGCAUUGGGAACUGCCAGGCUGGAGUGCCG